UGGGGAAUAUUGCACAAUGGGCGCAAGCCUGAUGCAGACAUGCCGCGUGUAUGAUGAAGGCCUUCGGGUUGUAAAGUACUUUCAGCGAGGAGGACGGCGUUGUGGUUAAUAACCGCAACGAUUGACGUUACUCGCAGAAGAAGCACCGGCUAACUCCGUGCCAGCAGCCGCGGUAAUACGGAGGGUGCAAGCGUUAAUCGGAAUUACUGGGCGUAAAGCGCACGCAGGCGGUCUGUCAAGUCGGAUGUGAAAUCCCCGGGCUCAACCUGGGAACUGCAUCCGAAACUGGCAGGCUAGAGUCUUGUAGAGGGGGGUAGAAUUCCAGGUGUAGCGGUGAAAUGCGUAGAGAUCUGGAGGAAUACCGGUGGCGAAGGCGGCCCCCUGGACAAAGACUGACGCUCAGGUGCGAAAGCGUGGGGAGCAAACA
rnacentral:rRNA from 1 species